ACGGGUGAGUAUCACGUGAGUAACCUUCCCUUGACUCUGGGAUAAGCCCGGGAAACUGGGUCUAAUACCGGAUACGACCAGUCCUCGCAUGGGGUGCUGGUGGAAAGAUUUAUCGGUCUUGGAUGGACUCGCGGCCUAUCAGCUUGUUGGUGAGGUAAUAGCUCACCAAGGCGAUGACGGGUAGCCGGCCUGAGAGGGUGACCGGCCACACUGGGACUGAGACACGGCCCAGACUCCUACGGGAGGCAGCAGUGGGGAAUAUUGCACAAUGGGCGAAAGCCUGAUGCAGCGACGCCGCGUGCGGGAUGACGGCCUUCGGGUUGUAAACCGCUUUCAGCAGGGAAGAAGCGAAAGUGACGGUACCUGCAGAAGAAGCGCCGGCUAACUACGUGCCAGCAGCCGCGGUAAUACGUAGGGCGCGAGCGUUAUCCGGAAUUAUUGGGCGUAAAGAGCUCGUAGGCGGUUUGUCACGUCUGCUGUGAAAGCCCGGGGCUCAACCCCGGGUGUGCAGUGGGUACGGGCAGACUAGAGUGCAGUAGGGGAGACUGGAAUUCCUGGUGUAGCGGUGAAAUGCGCAGAUAUCAGGAGGAACACCGAUGGCGAAGGCAGGUCUCUGGGCUGUUACUGACGCUGAGGAGCGAAAGCAUGGGGAGCGAACAGGAUUAGAUACCCUGGUAGUCCAUGCCGUAAACGUUGGGCACUAGGUGUGGGGGACAUUCCACGUUUUCCGCGCCGUAGCUAACGCAUUAA
rnacentral:rRNA from 1 species